rnacentral:rRNA from 1 species
GAUCAACGCUGGCGGCGUGCCUAAUGCAUGCAAGUCGAGCGGGGUCUCCUUCGGGGGACUUACGCGGCGGACGGGUGCGUAACACGUGGGCAACCUGCCCCGAGGUGGGGGAUAGCCGUGGGAAACCGCGGGUAAUUCCGCAUGUGGUCUGUGGUCGAGAGGACGACAGACGAAAGGGUCUUUAUGACUCGCCUUGGGAGGGGCCUGCGGCCGAUUAGCUGGUUGGUGGGGUAAUGGCCUACCAAGGCUGCGAUCGGUAGCUGGUCUGAGAGGACGGCCAGCCACACGGGGACUGAGACACGGCCCCGACUCCUACGGGAGGCAGCAGCAAGGAAUCUUCCGCAAUGGGCGACAGCCUGACGGAGCAACGCCGCGUGCGGGAUGACGCCCUUCGGGGUGUAAACCGCUUUUCUUCCGGAAGAACACCCAGCAAUGGGUCUGACGGUACGGGAGGAAGAAGGACCGGCUAACUACGUGCCAGCAGCCGCAGUAAAAC